rnacentral:rRNA from 1 species
GUUUAUCAAAAACAUUGUCACUUGAACCUCAAAUAGGUGAUAAAUCCUGCCCUAUGGACCCGUCUAAAUGGCCGCGGUACCCUGACCGUGCUAAGGUAGCAUAAUCACUUGCCUAUUAAUUGUAGGCUGGUAUGAAUGGAUAAACGAAGGCUUCCCUUUCCCCUUUAAACACUUAGAACUUAAUCCUCACGUGAAGAAGCUUGAAUUCCCACGAAGGACAAGAAGACCCUAUAGAGCUUAAUUCUCCACUCUCUCUCCCUAAAGAGCAACAAUUUGGUUGGGGCGACCAGGGAUAGACCCACCCUCCCUAUUUCAUAAAGAUCUACCUGUCACCUACCCUAGAUCCUCCUUCAAGAUCAACGAACCCAGCUACCUUAGGGAUAACAGGCUAAUAUUCCUUGAGAGCCCACAUUAACAGGAAUGUUUGGCACCUCGAUGUUGGCUUAGGACCUCUUUAUGAUGCAGCAGUCACAAAUAGAUGGUUUGUUCAACCAUUAAAAUCCUACGUGAUCUGAGUUCAGACCGGA